rnacentral:rRNA from 1 species
AUGAGAAGUGAGAAUCAUCCCUCUUCUUGUUUAACCCGGAGCCGCCCCCACACUCCUUGCCUGGAGCACGUAGCCGAUGUGGUCUCGGCCGAAUCAGAAGCGUCGCGUCAAGGUCUAAUGCUCAUUCAGAGCCUUGGGUGUGCCAACGUAAUUGUCCAAACUGAUAAUGUAACCGUGGUAGAGGCGUUGAAUUUGAACGAGGGUUACUCAAUGAUUGCAGCACCAAUACUUAAUGAAUGUCGAAGUCUACUUUCAAAUUUCGGAAAGGUACUUGUUGAACAUUGUAACAGGUAG